rnacentral:lncRNA from 1 species
CGGCGGUAAGAUGGCUGCACUGGUGCUUGGAACCUCCGGUCGACUCCUGCGAAAGACAGCCGAAUAUCCCGCGGCUGGCGGGCUGGUUGCGGACAGAGUUGGCUGUUGGAACUGUUUACAUGGAGCAAAACGUUAUUUAUUAACAGAAGAUAUUCUGCAGUUACGUAAAUUUCAAGAAAAGAAAUUGGAAAAUGAAUAUAAAAUAUAUGGACAAAAAGAUGAGUUUUUCAGAUCUGUUGAAAAAAAGUUAGCAAAUAAUACCCUUAUUCUCAGACCCGAAUUAAUAAAUCUACUAUAUCUAUGUCAAUCCAAAAAUGAAAUGGAAUUAGUCAAAAGAACCAUAUACAGGUAUCAUGAAGAGAACAGAAACAGGGCCUUUGGGGAGUUCCGAUUUGGACCCAUAUUUAUGAGGUUAUGUUAUGAACUAGACCUUGAAGCAAUUGCACUGGAACUCAUCAAAGACCAGACUCUAAAUGGCUUCUUUGGAGAUUAUACAUCAUUCAAUAUAUUAAUGGACAUGUUAUUUGAAAAGGGCCAUUAUGAAGAUGCUCUGAAUGUGCUAUUAGAAAUGGACAGGGAAAAUGUCAGAUUCAGCCAAGACACUUACUUGCUCGCAUUUGCAAUAUGCUACAAACUGAACAGCCCAGAAUCUUGGAAAAUUGUUGAUACGUUACUUGAAGAUAAGCGUCUCCAUGGACAUGAACUUUCAAGAAGAACACAAUAUUUUAUAGUAGCACUUGGUCUGAAACAGCUGCAGAUAAAUAUAAGUUCCACAGGUGUAGUGCACCUUCAUAACAAAUCGGCAAGAGGAAUUGGAUUAGGGUCUUGUUUCUGUACAUUUGGUCAAAAUUUAUCAUGCUUUGGCAUAGAAAAGAACAGUUCUUUAUUGAUCAUGGUUUGUUGGUUUGUUGUAAUCUUACAGAUCAUCGCUGCCAGGGAAAAGCUAGAACUUGAUCCAGACUUCAUUAUUCAGUUUGAAGAAAUUGUCACCAAGUUAAAAGUCUCAGGACAGAUAAAUGAACUGACUCUGGAUGACCUGUUGUGUGAGGUCCCACAUCCCAAAGGGUACAAAAUGCAGCUGUUGAAAGAAACAAAACGGAGUCAACGAACUUUACAGCCUCUUCAGUCAUUUCUGCUAAGUGAUUGA